UACGGGGGGAGCAAACGUUGUUCGGAAUCACUGGGCGUAAAGGGCGCGUAGGCGGCCCGGCAAGUGGUGUGUGAAAUGCCCUGGCUCAACCAGGGAACUGCGCUCCAAACUGCUUGGCUUGAGGACAGUAGAGGAAGCUGGAAUUCCGGGUGUAGCGGUGAAAUGCGUAGAUAUCCGGAGGAACACCGUUGGCGAAGGCGAGCUUCUGGGCUGUUCCUGACGCUGAGGCGCGAAAGCUGGGGGAGCAAACAGGAUUAGAUACCCUGGUAGUCCCAGCCGUAAACGGUGAACACUAGGUGUGGGAAGUAUCGACCCUUUCCGUGCCGCAGCUAACGCAUUAAGUGUUCCGCCUGGGGAGUACGGUCGCAAGGCUGAA
rnacentral:rRNA from 1 species